UACGUAGGGCGCAAGCGUUUAUCCGGAAUUAUUGGGCGUAAAGAGCUCGUAGGCGGUUUUGUCGCGUCUGCCGUGAAAGUCCGGGGCUCAACUCCGGAUCUGCGGUGGGUACGGGCAGACUAGAGUGAUGUAGGGGGAGACUGGAAUUCCUGGUGUAGCGGUGGAAUGCGCAGAUAUCAGGAGGAACACCGGUGGCGAAGGCGGGUCUCUGGGGCAGUAACUGACGUGAGGAGCGAAAAGCGUGGGGGAGCGAACAGG
rnacentral:rRNA from 1 species